AAAUUGAAGAGUUUGAUCAUGGCUCAGAUUGAACGCUGGCGGCAGGCCUAACACAUGCAAGUCGAACGGUAACAGGAAGCAGCUUGCUGUUUCGCUGACGAGUGGCGGACGGGUGAGUAAUGUCUGGGAAACUGCCUGAUGGAGGGGGAUAACUACUGGAAACGGUAGCUAAUACCGCAUAACGUCGCAAGACCAAAGAGGGGGACCUUCGGG
rnacentral:rRNA from 2 species